rnacentral:rRNA from 1 species
CCUACGGGUGGCUGCAGUGAGGAAUAUUGGUCCAUGGGCGUAAGCCUGAACCAGCCAAGUCGCGUGAGGGAUGAAGGUUCUAUGGAUCGUACACCUCUUUUAUAAGGGAAUAAAGUGCGGGACGUGUCCCGUUUUGUAUGUACCUUAUGAAUAAGGAUCGGCUAACUCCGUGCCAGCAGCCGCGGUAAUCCGGAGGAUCCGAGCGUUAUCCGGAUUUAUUGGGUUUAAAGGGAGCGUAGAUGGGUGGUUAAGUCAGUUGUGAAAGUUUGCGGAUCAACCGUAAAAUUGCAAUUGAUACUGGCAGUCAUGAGUACAGUUGAGGUAGGCGGAAUUCGUGGUGUAGCGGUGAAAUGCAUAGAUAUCACACAGAACACCGAUUGCGAAGGCAUCUCACGAAGCCGCGAUUGACGCUGAUGCACGAAAGCGUGGGUAUCAAACAGGAUUAGAUACCCCAGUAGUC